UAGGGAAUUUUCCACAAUGGGCGAAAGCCUGAUGGAGCAACGCCGCGUGCAGGAUGAAGGCUUUCGGGUCGUAAACUGCUUUUAUCUGUGACGAAUAUGACGGUAGCAGAUGAAUAAGGAUCGGCUAACUCCGUG
rnacentral:rRNA from 1 species